UAGUUCUGUUUUCUCUUCAGUCAUGCGUAAAUCUUUCGCCUUUUACUAAAGAUUUCCGUGGGGAGGAACAUCAAUGAGUUUGAUGAGUUUUGCUCUGGCAAAGCUGUGUAUGCUU